rnacentral:misc_RNA from 1 species
AAGAAUCAUUUGGUGAUUCCUUAGAAAGCCAAACUAAAGAUAAUCAAGAGUUGCACUUUGUGAUUCCCGUUUUGAGUGUGAAUCAGUUUUUAGAAUCAGUACUUGAAACGACACAUCAAGUUGGAAGAAUUUCCAUCUCCACCACAGCUGAUGUGCCUUUCAAGGAAAUGGCCCAUCAUUGUGAGCUACUUCUGAUGGGAAAGCAGCAGAAGAUGUCAUCUUUG